UACGAAGGGGGCUAGCGUUGUUCGGAUUUACUGGGCGUAAAGCGCGUGUAGGCGGGUCGGUAAGUUGGGGGUGAAAUCCCGAGGCUCAACCUCGGAACUGCCUUCAAAACUGGCGGCCUGGAGCAAGAUAGAGGCGAGUGGAAUUCCGAGUGUAGAGGUGAAAUUCGUAGAUAUUCGGAGGAACACCAGUGGCGAAGGCGACUCGCUGGAUCUUUGCUGACGCUGAGACGCGAAAGCGUGGGGAGCAAACAGG
rnacentral:rRNA from 1 species